rnacentral:rRNA from 1 species
AUUGAACGCUGGCGGCAGGCCUAACACAUGCAAGUCGAACGAGUGGCGGACGGGGGAGUAAUGACUGGGAAACUGCCAGAUGGAGGGGGAUAACCAAUGGAAACGGUAGCUAAUACCGAAUACAAUCGGAUGGGCCCAGAUGGGAUUAGCGAGUGGGUGGGGUAACGGCUCAACUAGGCGACGAUCCCUAGCUGGUCUGAGAGGAUGACCAGCCAGUCUGGCACGGAGACACGGUCCAGACUCCUCCGGGAGGCAGCAGUGGGGAAUAUUGCACAAUGGGCGCAAGCCUGAUGCAGCCAUGCCGCGUGUAUGAAGAAGGCCUUCGGGUUGUAAAGUACUUUCAGCCGGGAGGCGUUACCCGCAGAAGAAGCACCGGCUAACUCCGUGCCAGCAGCCGCGGUAAUUC